CCAUGUUGCUCCCUGCAGCUAAACCAGACGACGUGAAAUGGCAAGUACCUCUUAAUUUUUAUUAUUUUUAAACAGGAUAGUUUAAGAGCUAUGGAUUUUUUUAUUAUUAUUAUUACUAUUUUACUGGCAAAUUUAGUGUGCUGCCUUCCCUCCUUAAUGAAGGGAACCAAGAGCUGGUGCUCAGCUCCUGCUUUCUAGAAGCAGUCCCUGCAAACCUACUGUGAAUAACCAUGUCACCUCCCCAUUCUCCAUCUCCAGAGCAAGAAAGCAGCUUUCAUCAGCUCAGACCAUUUUUUCUUUUCUUGCCUCUUUACCUUCGCCUUUCCUCCAAGUUCCAUUUAUCUCCAAGCCCAUGUCUGAGACAAGGACCUACGGCUUGCACCAUCCCUUCAUGUGCAAAAAGAGAAGGGUACUGUUCCAGGAUGGAAACCUGGAUGCACUCCUCAAGGAGAUCAUCUCUGAUCAAGGUUCCCCCCCUUCCUGACCUGGGAAGCCUUUGGGAAAGAUCUGCUGUCAUCCUGGAUGAUUUCGAACCUUACAGUAGAGGUUCAUUAGCAUCUUUAGCAACUUUGGAGAUCCACAUGAAGCAAAGUCAUACCUGCAGGACCUCAAUGUUGGAGGCAGUGAAGGAUGCUGAAUUUCAUGAUACCCACAGAAGACGAGCUGGUCCCAUGCUGUUGCUGGCUCAGCACCCGUUUGCCUGGAUUUGUCCCUGGAACAACAAAGAAGAGCCCAGCGAGGGGUCAGCAUGGUUCAUUUGCCCUUUGGCCACAGCUUGCCAACAGGAUCCAGCUGAAUAGCUGCCAGUGCAGCGGGCUGGUGGGAAAAUGCUUGUGGAGCUUCUUGUAGGCAAGGGGAGCUCAAACACUUGUUUCAUCUUGGAAAUGUGUGCCAUUUUUUUCCAAGUUGUCCAAACAUUUGGCUUCUGUAUUUCCAUCAGUG
ensembl:lncRNA